CAAAAAGUUAGGUUCACAAGGCUCAAGUUCAGCAAUUGCUGCAAAGAAGUACCUGGAAAAAGUAAAUGCUUAAAAAGUUUGACAACGAUAUAGAAGAGCUUAUUUCUGAUGCAGAGAAUGGAAGAAAGCGGAACACUUGGAACAGGGCAGAUUCUCAGUGUAAGUAUCAAUGGAUUUACUUUUAUUUGAAGGUAAUAGUCAAAAGAAUUAAUAAAAAUAUAGUUAUCGAGAAACCAUAUAAUGAAUGUAAUAGUAAUGCGUUUAAUUUUUUUUUAAUCUGUAUUCUAGUUCUGGGGAAACAAGUGUUUUCUAUUUUUUCUUUUAAAAUUCGAAGGUAAUAUGAACUACUACCCUUAUUUGAUCUAGUUUAAUUAUUUUUAUUACAUUCAUCGACAAAUUAAAGCUAAGAAAGUGAAACAAAAUUAAUCAACAACACAGUACAGUUAAUUUGAUUAUCAUCAUAUCUAUUUUCUGGCUGCAGAUAGUGUUCUGGAGAUAUAAAUGUCUGAAUUUGUGAACAAUUUUGUCCCUGGAAGUUAAUAUUUCAAACAGCACAGAAUGGCAAAAGGAAUAAUCCAAUUUGCAAAUUCUAACGCAAUUGAGACUCAAUUUGGAAAGUGAACGUAAGAGUGAGUACUAAUUGCAC
rnacentral:lncRNA from 1 species